CGUAGGUGCAAGCGUUAAUCGGAAUUACUGGCGUAAGCGUGCGCAGGCGGUGAUGUAAGACAGAUGUGAAAUCCCCGGGCUCAACCUGGGAACUGCAUUUGUGACUGCAUCGCUGGAGUGCGGCAGAGGGGAGUGGAAUUCCGCGUGUAGCAGUGAAAUGCGUAGAUAUGCGGAGGAACACCGAUGGCGAAGGCAAUCCCCUGGGCCUGCACUGACGCUCAUGCACGAAGCGUGGGAGCAAACAGGAUU
rnacentral:rRNA from 1 species